GCUCGUAGUUGGAUUUGUGGUUGGGUCUGUCGGUCCGGCACAUUGUGCGGGUACUUGAUGGACUCGUCCAUCCUUGGGUGGAAUCUGUGUGGCAUUAAGUUGUCGUGCAGGGGAUGCCCAUCGUUUACUGUGAAAAAAUUAGAGUGUUCAAAGCAGGCUUAUGCCGUUGAAUAUAUUAGCAUGGAAUAAUGAGAUAGGACCUUGGUACUAUUUUGUUGGUUUGCGCACCGAGGUAAUGAUUAAUAGGGACAGUUGGGGGUAUUCGUAUUCCAUUGUCAGAGGUGAAAUUCUUGGAUUUUUGGAAGACGAACUACUGCGAAAGCAUUUAC
rnacentral:rRNA from 1 species